rnacentral:lncRNA from 1 species
UCGGUGACUUCACCAGCCUCUUAUCGACAGGGAAGACCCCAGAGAUGGCGUUCAUCACGAACUUGGACGGAUCGAUGCAGUCCGCGAGGGCCACAGGGAGUUCCGACCGGAGAAGCUCCACAUCCUUCCUCUUCGCCACCACGAGGUCGAAGAACCCGUCGAAAUCCAUCUUAGUGCAAAGAGAUCGCAGCUUUUCGGGGAGACCAAGCUCGUCCCCGUCGGCAGCGGCGGCAGCGAGGGCCUGUACGGCGGCGACACGGCGCUCGUCGAGCUUGGAUAGGGCGAGGUCGACGGCGGCGUCGAUGGAGAGCUCGCGGCGGCGGAGGGAGCCGAGAGUGCGCCGGGUGGAGGCGUCGAGGGACUGGCGCUUGGACCGGAGGGCCUCGGACUUGAUCUCGAGCCCCCGUUCGAGGGUGGAGAAGUGGUCGGACAGCU